rnacentral:lncRNA from 1 species
GGGAGGAGGUGAGGGCCUGAGGGAGGAGGUGAAGGCCUGAGGGAGGAGGUGAGGGUCUGAGACAGAAGUAGAUAGUCUGAGGGAAGGAAGAAGGUCUGAGGGAGAUGAACAGGUCUGAGGAAGGAGGUGGGGGCCUGAGGGAGGAGGUGAGGGUCUGAGGGUGGAGGUGAGGGCCUGAGGGAGGAGAGAGGGCCUGAGGGAGGAGGUGAGGGCCUGAGGGAGGAGAGAGGGUCUGAGGGAGGAGGUGAGGGUCUGAGGGAGGAGAGAGGGCCUGAGGGAGGAGGUGAGGGCCUGAGGGAGGAGGUGAGGGCCUGAGGGAGGAGGUGAGGGUCUGAGGGAGGAGAGAGGGUCUGAGGGAGGAGGAGAGGGCCUGAGGGAGGAGGUGAGGGCCUGAGGGAGGAGGUGAGGGUCUGAGGGAGGAGAGAGGGUCUGAGGGAGGAGG